rnacentral:lncRNA from 1 species
CCUAGAGAAAGUAGUAAGUGUCACAGACUGUUGUGCCCACCCCCAGGAACUGAAUGAAGAACUGCAUGGAUUUUGUUUUAAAUGGAGCUGAACAAUAAUCCCAAGAGAUUUGAGAGCUGGUGUCAUGCAGUGGAUACAUAUUUCACACCUGGGGAUAGAGACAUGCCUGAGAUGAGCCAGGAAAUGUAUCUACAGGCCAGGCAUGAAUACCCAGUUGAAAGCAUACAUGGAACAGUGCAAGCUGUGCAAAGAAUACAGCGAUUGACAAGAAAUGCCUCAUGGAAUUCCAGCCCAGACCUAGGAGAAGGACGAUUGAAGUGUUUUGAUUUGGUUGGAAGACUGUACUAGCUUGCCAGAGGGAAUUCAGAGGAAACUAGAAUAUUUUCCCAAAGAGAAGUAUUGCCAUCCUUGGGUUUCUCCACUGCAACUCAGAGAGUCCUGGGGCCCCUGUACCUCUCCUACUUUGGGGACACUGGCAGAAUAAAGGUGGUGAGUAAAGAACAAAUGUGUUCUUAUUGUUUAAGAAAGAUUCCUGAAUAUGCAAGGUUUUCUUUCUAGUAAGUAGGGAGUUAAUUCAUAAUUGCUGUUCUGCUUUGCUCUAAUUGUUUGAGGUUAUUUCUAUCAAGAGUCAUAGUGAUUUUGUACCUGGUAACACCAUAAAAGUGUGGCCAUGCAUAAUUCUUACCUAAUUGUGUUUCAAGGCUAUAUCUCAUUACGAUUAAUUAACAUGCUUUUUGGGCAAGAAGGAAAAUGUUUUAUUUAAUAAUACAGUAAACAAACUACCAACAUAGCAAUGUUUAGUGAACCGUCAGUGGAAGUAGUUGUUUUCAGAUUCAAAAGUAUCACACCUAAGUAAUUAUUUUCAGGAGCAAUCUUUUUAUUCCUAUCUUGCUUUGUA